rnacentral:rRNA from 1 species
GAACGGGUGAGUAAUAUCAUCGGAACGUACCCUGGAGUGGGGGAUAACGUAGCGAAAGUUACGCUAAUACCGAUACGAUCUAAGGAUGAAAGUGGGGGAUCGCAAGAACUCAUGCUCCUGGAGCGGGCGAUAUCUUGAUUUAGUAAGUUUGGUGGGGUAAAAGGGCUUAACCAAAGGGCAUUCCGAUCCAAGUAAGGCCUUGGUCCUUGGAAGAAGGGAACCGGAACCCAAGCCAACAAUUGGGAAACUUGGAAGAACCACCGGGUCCCAAGAAUUCCCUAACGGGAGGCAGCAGUGGGGGGAAUUUUGGACAAUGGGCGCAAGCCUGAUCCAGCAAUGCCGCGUGAGUCGAAGAAGGCCUUCGGGUUGUAAAGCUCUUUUGUCAGGGAAGAAACGGAUUUUUCUAAUACAGAGAUCUAAUGACGGUACCUGAAGAAUAAGCACCGGCUAACUACGUGCCAGCAGCCGCGGUAAUACGUAGGGUGCAAGCGUUAAUCGGAAUUACUGGGCGUAAAGCGUGCGCAGGCGGUUUUGUAAGUCUGUCGUGAAAUCCCCGGGCUCAACCUGGGAAUGGCGAUGGAGACUGCAAGGCUAGAGUUUGGCAGAGGGGGGUAGAAUUCCACGUGUAGCAGUGAAAUGCGUAGAUCUGUGGAGGAACACCGA